GUAUAUAUGUAUACAUAUGUAUGUCUGUGUAUGAUGAAAACCAGAAAUUCUCACACAAAAAAAGGUGACUAAUGUCAUAUUCAAUGUAAUGCUGCAUUAAUACUGUUCAUAGUAACAUUAUGCAGACUUUUACAUCAAACUCCAGUAGUACAUAGAAACUCUCGUGUCAUUUGUGUUUCUGCAAAGUGCUUUUUUAAAAAAACAAUUGUAAAAAUAACUAGCUGGGACAUUUAUGACACUGAUACCACAACUUUUCUUUCUACCAAUAAUAAUAUCAGUCUGAUACAAUAUUAAAAAACACCUGAGCUGUUAAACUAAUAUUCUGCUUACACAUAGGACAAAGUAAACAGACUAUUAAAAUGCUGCUGCUGCUUUUGUAUUUGAACAAAUUUUCUUUUAUCUUCAAACCAGUCCAAACGGCUGUCCUAACCUACUUUUUCCUCUUUCUCUGAUAUCCGAUCCAGAGAUUUUGACUUUCACUGUAUGACGGAUUCUGAUACCGAGUAUCUUAUUGGCUCAUCCCUUCUAUGAACUGGACUCAUCCUCAAUGACUCAGGUAAUCAGGACUCGACUCGACUGGAGAAUCGACUCGGACUUGAGGGUCAGUGACUCGACUACAACACUGGAACCUGAACACUGCGCUGACAAACACUCCAGUUUCCCUCUUAGAAAAUCAGUUUUCUCAGUGAAGCUGAGUGAAACCAUUAUAUUGUCUUUGGGGUUUUUUGUGGACACUUAAUGUGUGUUUUUGCUUUACUUUUGUACAGAGUUCAGCCUGUUGUGUUUCUGCCAAAGUUGUUAUUAUUAAUAAUACAGUGUAUCUUACGUUAUACUCAUGAAGAAUACGAUGCUUGGUAAAGUUUUAGUACUGAGGGAUUGGUAGAAGUUUUCAAAAGGGAUAAAUAAACUUUUUAAAUAAAUACGUUGUCACAGAAUGAGUGGUUUAUUAACACCAAUGACGUCUUGCUGUUUUAUGUUGAACCUUGAACGCAUCACCUGUUUUCCCUGAGAUAUACUGCUUCCUGCAGAUGGACUCGAGCCAUUGUUUUAACUUGAAAACAUGAGGUAUGACUGGAAUUACCCGGAUUUUCCGUACCGAUGUUUUCACAACUCCAGGUGACUGAUGUCAUGCAGUACUUUAAUGCAAAAUUCUGAACCAAAACGAUGCCAUUUUGGUAGGAAGCCGCACUUUUUUUUAAAUCACUAGACGUAUUUGUAUAUAUACUGUGCAAUAUGUCAGGCAACUCUCGGUCUCUAAAUCGUUUUGUUUUCAUUAGACGUGAAGAUGGUGGAUAGCUGUUGUGCCCCCAGGGUGCUAAAACUAUUGAGGACAAGCUAACGGUGAGCACCGAAGAUCUACAGGCAUCGGAUUGUUACCUGAUAUGAAGUGAUGACUUCACAAGAACAGAUUCCAGCUAAUUAAAAGUUUCAUGUCAGAUUGAGUAGAUUGAGUAGUGAACGUGAACUAACGGCUUAAACGGGCAUGGCGUCGUUGGUUGAUGAAGUGAUGCUCUUCCUUUGUCAGUGUUUCUUGACAGUUUGUAAUAAAGUUAAGUUAAAAACGGUUGCCCGCCCAGCUUUGUUUUUUCAUUGGUAUCAAUAACAAGCCCCGCCCCGAACAAUUCCCGCGUUCACACAAUUCCUUCUUUCUGAUUGGUUGACACAUGCGCGCGCGCCAAUAUUCAACUUCCUUACUAAAGCUACCUCCGCGUUGGCUCCGUCAGUGCAGCGGAGCAGAGGCUUCCCUCUCCUGCAAAACCUGGACCGGAUACAUGGAGGGACUGGGCUGGACUGGAUUCGGUUUUCUGUUAAAACCGUCCAGCAGGAGGCAGAAGAAACUGUCAUGUGAUGGAGGAAUGCACAGUGCAUGAACAGUGCAUGAACAGUGCAUGAAUGAAGGGGACGUGGCCUCAAGAGCCCUGCAGUAAGUAAGUGUGUGUUACAGUUUUUACUGUAUUUGCAUCAAAUCUGAUCUGUUUCAGACAACGAUGAUGCUACAAUAUAUUAUUUACCAACUGGAUUUCUGGAAAGUUCCCACUUUUGAAAGUUCCCCAAGACAACAGUUUACAUGAUCCCCCAAACUAGGUCCUUUCUCAUUGUUUUGA